GGCCAAUGAUGUACUCAAUUGCACGUAUUAUCAGAUGUGUUGUUGAUGAUAUCUAAAUUGUCACUACCUCUGAGGCC